UAGGGAAUCUUCGGCAAUGGACGAAAGUCUGACCGAGCAACGCCGCGUGAGGGAAGAAGGCCUUCGGAUCGUAAAACUCUGUUGUUAGAGAAGAACAAGGACGUUAGUAACUGAACGUCCCCUGACGGUAUCUAACCGGAAAGCCACGGCUAACUACGUGCCAGCAGCCGCGGUAAUACGUAGGUGGCAAGCGUUGUCCGGAUUUAUUGGGCGUAAAGCGAGCGCAGGCGGUUUCUUAAGUCUGAUGUGAAAGCCCCCGGCUCAACCGGGGAGGGUCAUUGGAAACUGGGAGACUUGAGGGCAGGAGAGGAGAGUGGAAUUCCAUGUGUAGGGGUGAAAUGCGUAGAUAUAUGGAGGAACACCAGUGGCGAAGGCGGCUCUCUGGUCUGUAACUGACGCUGAGGCGCGAAAGCGUGGGGAGCAAACAGG
rnacentral:rRNA from 1 species